AUAGCCACUUAAUAAAACAGAUUUCAUCUUUCAAAAUUCACCCACCUUUCUUCAAGCUUAAUCUCCUCUCUCCUCUUCCAACUUACCUUUUCUUCAAAACCCUUACCCAAAUCAUCCUUUCCCCAACACAACAAGAACGGACCCCAAAAUUUAGAAAGAAAAUCCUUAAAACCCAGAAUCAAAGAUGAACACACGACGUUCAUCAUCGGAACCUCAACAUACCUUGGCAAAGACCAAACGCAGUUUCAACAAAAUGACACAACAACAUAACAAUUCCAAACCCAAAAUCAGCAAAACACCUCAUGGAUCUAUCAUAGUUUAUACUUAAAUCAGAAUCAAUCAUGAAUAAGCAACACAAUCAUCAAACUAUACACUCAAUCGGAGACUACAUGGUGUUACGAUACCUACGCAAGGUUGAACAAAGGGUGAAGGACGUCACCGGUACCUUCCGAUCAAAAUCUCAUCUAGAUUUGGUGUGGUCCCUCAAUUGAUGCAGGUGGCAAAGGAUUUGUUUCGUUGGUAAGAAUCUCAAAAAAAUGCAUGACCGACUCCAUUAGAUCUUUACAGCAGUAAGACUUGUAUAUGGCAUGGUCGCAACACCCUUCGGGUGCACGAUUUCGCACAUCUUAACCUCUAGUUAGCUGACCACCAGUAUGAUCCAGAAUGAACUCAAAUUGCCUCUGUGUUGCAUUAUUAACUCAUAACCCAGAAGUCUUAGGACCUGUUAAGGUAGAUUGUGCAUUAUUGUCUCGUUUUGUUUUAGUUUCAUGUUUUCUUAUGACGAGCAACUCAAACUUACAUUGACUCUCCUGUUUUUGUUAUGCUAUGAGUGAAAGGCAUUGAAGGAAAAUGAUGCAGAGAUGAUGCAGAGAAGUGAAAAGAAGAUGAAAGUUGUACACAUGUUGGCAAUGUGUUUUAAUGAUUCUGACAGUUAUACAGGGUGCUGUUAUGCCGACACGAGUUGGUGGCUAAGUUUUACUUUACCAUUCCGCUUCUGUUUUGAUAGGAGCAGUGGCUAGUUUUGAAGGCGUGCAUCAUUUACAUUCAAUGCAGGAGGUGCUUUGGAUUUUUUCUUGGGAUGCUUUGCCUGUGUUGAACUGAUAUGUGAGCUGCUAUACUUGAUGCUCAUUGUAUUGUAUAUCUUUUGAUCGGGGUCUCCCAGGGGCUGCAUAGGUUUCUAGGUUGCUUAAGAUUUGUAUUGUCUUGGAUGGUGACGCAUUCUGGACUGUGCUUAUCCGGACACGGCGUAUUGCUUGUUAGAUUUUUUGGAAGUCUGUUUCUUCUUGGCAUGUUGUUGGCUUUUGGACUCUGUAGAUUGCAUCACGCUGUUAGAAGGUACCCUGCAGGCUUUAGAACGAACUUGUAACAGUCUGUAGAAAUGAGUGUAGGGAAAAGCCGGGCAAGCAUCAUGGCAAAGGGAUAUGUUCUUUCCAAUUUGAAGCUUAUUCCUGUCGUUUUGACUUGACUGUAAUGUAAUCUUAGAUCAUAAGGUUGGGACUUGUGUGAACCAUGAAGUUUAACCAUACAAAUUGUAAAUCUAUGCCUGUAUUAAUAAAACUUAGGAACAUCAAGCCCAUCAAAGCAUGGUCUUGUA